rnacentral:rRNA from 1 species
UACGGAAGGCAGCAGGGGGAAUAUUGCACAAUGGGCGCAAGCCUGAUGCAGCCAUGCCGCGUGUAUGAAAAAGGCCUUCGGGUUGUAAAGUACUUUCAGUCGUGAGGAAGGUGUUAAGGUUAAUAACCUUAGCAAUUGACGUUAGCGACAGAAGAAGCACCGGCUAACUCCGUGCCAGCAGCCGCGGUAAUACGGAGGGUGCGAGCGUUAAUCGGAAUUACUGGGCGUAAAGGGCACGCAGGCGGUUAAUUAAGUUGGAUGUGAAAUCCCCGGGCUUAACCUGGGAAUGGCAUUCAAGACUGGUUAGCUAGAGUCUUGUAGAGGGGGUAGAAUUCCAUGUGUAGCGGUGAAAUGCGUAGAGAUGUGGAGGAAUACCGGUGGCGAAGGCGGCCCCUGGACAAAGACUGACGCUCAUGUGCGAAAGCGUGGGGAGCAAACAGGGAUUAGAUA